CAGCCGCCGCGGUAAUACAGAGGGUGCAAGCGUUAAUCGGAAUUACUGGGCGUAAAGCGCGCGUAGGUGGUUUGUUAAGUUGGAUGUGAAAGCCCCGGGCUCAACCUGGGAACUGCAUCCAAAACUGGCAAGCUAGAGUACGGUAGAGGGUGGUGGAAUUUCCUGUGUAGCGGUGAAAUGCGUAGAUAUAGGAAGGAACACCAGUGGCGAAGGCGACCACCUGGACUGAUACUGACACUGAGGUGCGAAAGCGUGGGGAGCAAACAGGAUUAGAUACCCCCGUAGUCCCUGUCUCUUAUAU
rnacentral:rRNA from 1 species